GUGCGUCGCCACGGACUGUGUGCGACGCAUUUGCAGCCAUGUCUCAUUGUAAGACAGGUUGAUUUGAUUUGAGGACACACCGCUUUCUCCCUGCAUAAUCGCAGCAGGUGAUGACAUCUGGAUGCCUGAAGAGUACCUAUUGCUUGUUGAUGGCCAUGUUGUGGCAGCAGCAAAGAUGUUCAAGCAAGCAUUCCGCAUGCUGUUUGCAGCUUACUGCUGCUUCCACAUUUGUUAUGCAGAGAAGGCGUCAUGCACACUUGAAUUCAUACAAAGGGCAUUUUCGGCAUAAACCCAGACCGUGGACGGAAGGGCAAAAAAGGAAAUGUGGCGGUCAGCAAGAAAGUUCUUGCCUUGGUGCAGCGCAUUACUGAGUGUGAAUGGAAUGUCCAGCAUGGACUAGUUGACCACCCGCAGGGAUACUUUUUCGUCUGCCAAGCAGCCCAGAACCUUACAAUGCGAACUACAGAAAUGGUUCCCUUUCAC